rnacentral:lncRNA from 1 species
GUUCAGAUGUUGAAGCUUGUCUGAAAAAUCAAUACCUAAGAUAUACACAGUCAGUCUGGUAACAAAAGUUUACCCCUGAGAUCUGCGUACGUGCAGGAAAGCUGAUCAACAGUAUGUUAAGCUAAUCAUCAAACCACCAACAAAAGUGUGGAUUAUAUGCUUUUAUUACUUUUUAGAUGACAGCAGGUAGGACAUACUUCUAUAGGACGAUUCUUUGCCUACGUGAUGAUAGACCAAUAGGGUUAAAGGGGGGAGUUUGUUUGGACAUUAAAAAAAUGUUAAUCUGUGAUACUAUAAAAUGUAUUGAAAUUCCAUAUACACUCAUUGAAUGCGUGCAAUAGGGC